UGGAAGAAAACAGAAAUGUGUUUAGUCCUGUUUAGAACAUGGUGUGUAGUGGUGCACUGCAGCCUCUUGUGACCGAAAUGAGUAGUUGCAAUAUCAGGCCUUUUGUCCAAGAUGUUGCCAUUGUGUGAAAUAAUUAAUAAAAGUCACUAAGUCACUAAAAGUUUUUAUUAUUCAGGUAAAUUUAUUGUCUUCUUGCUCUUAGGUGCUUUGCUUUUGCUGAGCUGCCAUGGUAUCAACGCAAAGUGGCGGCUGCAAUUUUUUCAUCACCACCUACGUCCACAUAUGAGGAGGCUUUGGAAUUCUUCCUGAAAGCCGAAGAAGUUGAUCCAAACUUCUACAGUACAAACCUGCUAAUGCUCGGGAAGACCUACAUGGCCAUGAAAGACAAACAGAAUGCACUUCUUUGGCUAACCAAAGCAAAAGAGUACCCUGCUCACACACUGGAAGACAAAGAGGUCCAUAAAGAAGCUGUUGACCUCUUGAAGAAGCUAGGAUAAAGCGGUCAUCACCAUUGAGUUGAAUGUGACGCCUUUGAUAUAUUAGGUUGUGUUAAUUAUCGCUAACAAAAUGUUUUCUUUUUAUGAUUUUGUAAUAAUACUGUAGAACUGAGUGGGCUUGCACACAGCAUACAUACCUCUUUUAUAGUUAAGGCAAUGUCCAGUCAUCCAGCUUUGAGUUUAGUUAAUGCAACGUUUGUAUUUUUUCAAUUCUUUCAAUCCAUUCAUGCCUGAAUUCCUCUUGCUGAUUUUUCUGACAUUGACUUUAGAGGCGAGCACAUUGCAUUUGCUGGACCAAAAUGUAAAACGUUUUUGAUACCAAAUCACCGCACAAAUGUUUCUAUUGUUCGUCGAGGUCAAGUCAAAAGACAAAUGGUUUUAUGUUUGGGAGGGGUGGACUGGGGAAAAGUUGCAAAUGAAUUACAUUUUUAGAACUUGUAAGUGUAAUCAAGAAAGUUAACCAAUGUCAUUACCAAACUGGAUCUGUAUACUUACAAUUCACGCACUGUAGUAUCUGCUUUCUCAAAUCAAAUGUACAUUUUAUUCAAGUAUACGCAUUUACUUUAAUCUUUGCCACAAUUGCUUUAACUUAAUGAUUGUUUUUUCAACAGCAUAGGAUGAACUGAACUGUUAAUGAUACAAAAUAACCCAGGACAAGUCAUACCGUCUAUGGGACAAGCACAUUUGUGCUCAAUUGUUGCCACUGUGAUUGCAAUUGUUACUAAAUGGCACUUUACAACUGUGGCCUUGUGUGGUUUGUCUUCAACACAUUCCCCAUGACACCAGUCAUGUUGGCAAGGAGGUGCCUCCAAUAAAAAAAAUUAGUGGAA